UACAGAGGGGGCGAGCGUUAGGCGGAAUCACUGGGCUUAAAGGGCGCGUAGGCGGCCUUCUAAGUCGAACGUGAAAUCCCCGGGCUCAACCCGGGAACUGCGUCCGAUACUGGGAGGCUUGAAUCCGGGAGAGGGAUGUGGAAUUCCAGGUGUAGCGGUGAAAUGCGUAGGAUAUCUGGAGGAACACCGGUGGCGAAGGCGGCAUCCUGGACCGGUAUUG
rnacentral:rRNA from 1 species